GCGCGAAAACUUUACAAUGCGGGAAACCGUGAUAAGGGAACUCCGAGUGCCCGUAAACGCGGGCUGUCCAUCUGCUUAAAAAACAGGUGAAGAAAGGGCCGGGCAAGACCGGUGCCAGCCGCCGCGGUAAUACCGGCGGCUCGAGUGGUGGCCACUAUUACUGGGCUUAAAGCGUCCGUAGCUUGGUUGUUAAGUCUCUUGGGAAAUCUGUCGGCUUAACCGACAGGCGUUUAAGGGAUACUGGCAAUCUAGGGACCGGGAGAGGUGAGAGGUACUCCAGGGGUAGGAGUGAAAUCCUGUAAUCCUUGGGGGACCACCUGUGGCGUAGGCGUCUCACCAGAACGGCUCCGACAGUGAGGGACGAAAGCUGGGGGAGCAAACCGG
rnacentral:rRNA from 1 species